GGCACCGGAAUAAGAACAUUUUCUCCCCGUAUAAACUCGUGUGUUAUUUGGGUUUACACACAGUUUUCCGCCCUAAGAACCAAGCUGCUCUCCUUCAUCCCUCUUUUGCCUCUUGCCCUAUUAUAUGCUCUUCACUCACUUUUUCUAGAGACCCAAGCUAAUGGAGUUGUCUGCACGAUGCCAAUCUUGCGGCGAACGGUCUCUGGUCACUGAUGAAGUUUCUGAAAAUUUAAUCUGCACAUCAUGUGCUGUUGUUCAGGAUUACAACAAUUUUCAGGCCCAUGUUGGUGGUAUUAGUGGCCCGGCUGGCACAUAUGUCCGCACUGGCACAUCAGGCUCUGGCAAUAAUUAUUCGUAUAAAGAAAGCAAAAUAUAUAAAGCUGGGGUUCUUAUUGAUGAUAUUUUGUUCAAAUUGAAUUUUUCUGUUUCAUCGAUAGAUGAGGUUAAAAAAAUGAUUGUGACUAUUACUGAAGGUGAGUAUGGUCAAGGUGAUUGGUUUAGUAUAUUUGUUGGUGCUUGUGCUUAUGUUGUUCGGAGGAAAAAUGGGAACCUUCUGCCGAUGACGGAUGUGGCUGCUGUAGUCUGCUGUGAUACACUGAUACUUAUGAGUUAGGAAGAAUGGUUAAUCGAGUUGUUAGUUUUCUUGACUUGAAGUUGCCUGAAUUUGAUAUUGUUUAUUUGUAUGAAACUACACUUAGAAAUAGCCCGAGCUUUAGCUGCAUUGAAGCUGAGAAAAAGGAGGUGAUGUUAAAACAGGGGGUGUUUUUGGUGCAGUGUUUAAUAAAGUGGUUUGUGACAACGGGGAGAAGGCCAGUGCAGGUUGUAGUGUCAGUGUUGGUAUUUAUUGGACAGUUAAAUCAGUUAAAUGUUAAAAUUGAGGAUUUGGCUAGUGAAUUGAAUGUGCCUGCUGUCACUUGUCGAUUGAGGUACAAGGAGUUGUUAGAGAGGCUUGUGGAGGUUGCAAGAGUGUUGCCAUGGGGAAAAGAUGUUAAUAUAAAGAAUAUUGUGAAAUUUGCACCAUAUGUCAUUCAAUAUAUGGAAAUGAAGUCGAUGGGUAAUGGUCUAAAACAGAUAAAAAAUUCAGAUAAUGUGGGAUUUGACAUUGCUUAUUUUUUGAGUGAUUGUUUGCAGGAAAGAUCAGAUAACAUGAUUGAUUCAUAUAGGUCUUGUGAGGGGGAUGAUUUUUUUUCACACAAUACUGAGCAAGAACAAUCACCUAGUCUGGAUUAUGCUAAUCUGGAUAAGUUUAAUAUUUCACCUGAAUGCUUGAAAAUGAUUUAUUCCAAGUGCAUGGAAGAGGUUUCUGAUUUUCGUUCCACAUCGGAGUUUGGAAAGGAAAAUAGAAAGAGAAGGAAGAGACAUGACAACUACCUUGACUGUACAGACUGGUGGAAAGGCAAGUCAGAACUCAGCAAAAAACUCUCUCUCAAGAAGAUAUUGGAGAAAGAUGUAGGAAUGGAUGUGAUGCCUCCAGCAUUCGUUAAUGGAUGCUUGACAUACCAGAUGAGAAGAGAUAAGAUUGAGGCGGCUAAGGCACGCAUUAAAAACAUCAUGUUUCCAUCGAAUGCUGGUUUACAUGCUGGGUACAGCCAUUGCCUUUCAACAACUGCUAAAAAGGAGAAGAAGAAAAAGAAACGACAUGUAGAUGUUGAUUGGGAAGAUCUUAUAAUUGAAACUCUUCUUCUGCAUCAGGUGAAGGAAGAAGAAAUAGAGAAGGGGUAUUACAAAACCUUGAUGGACUUGCAUGUUUUUAACUCAGGUUGUUUUGAAUGAUCUCAACUGUACGCAGGUAUAUUCAGCUGCAGUGAGACAUCCUGGAAGAGAUUAUGCUGGCGAUAGAUGGAUUCAUCUUUUAUUUGUAAUCGGAGAUUGAUACAUGAACAUGUUUUUUUUUGAUGAUGAGCAUUGAGUGAAAUUAUAAGAUAUAAAUAUAACCGGAGAUUGUGCUUAGACUAAUAUAAUAUAACUUAUCGUAGUAGUUUUAGCUCUCAAUCUGUUGAUCACUUGCCCGUAAUUAAGGUAACUGACAUUGUUGGUAGUACCAUUAGUAGAUCCAGGGAUCUUGAUUAUCUUAUUCUGUCAUGAUGCAAAGACUUUUAGUGGCAUGGAACCUCGUCUAUUACAGGUUGAUUGGCCUUGUUUGUCUUCCUGGCUUUUAUACCAAUCGAGCUAUUAUACCAUACAGAAAAUUUUAGUCUUUCCCACCAGUUAUUGUGAUUCCUUGUGUCAGAUUAUUUGCAAAGUCUAGACAUUGUUUAUAAGAAUGUUAUUUUCUGCAUUUCGGCAGAAUUGCUAUUAUGUUCCUCCCAUAGCUGCAGCUGCAAGGACUCCUGGUUAGACUCUCCCCUCCCUCCCUUCACAGGCUGGAAAUAUUUUUAUUCAUGGACCCUGAACAUUUUCUUAUGCGGAUCUUUGCCUGUAAAACUUUAGUUAAGAGCUACUUGCCUGUUAGAGAUGCCAGGUUCGUCAUGGAAUUGAUGAUCUACUCAUGCAUCUUAAUUCUUACGGUAAGUAUUGAGGAAUAAAAUAUAAGGGUAGUUUUGUCAUUGCGGUAAAAUCUAUAUUGGACUAUAUAUAAAGUCCCACAGGUUUCAUUUCAGCGGUAAGGUUAAUUCAUAAUGUAGCCGAUUAAUAAAUUCUUUCCGUUUUUCUUCGUCUCUGUUCUAUCUCUAACAUAUUGAUAAAUAAGUAUUAUGCUUGUCAACAGGUAUCAGAGCCUUCGGUUCUAACCCAAGAUUUUUAACUCUGUGUUUUCUUCCGAGGGUUAGUGUGUUGAUUGGGUGCUGCAGCUUAUAUAUUUGAUGAAUUGUCUGACCCAGGGAUUCAUUAGCUGGUAACAUCUCUUAUUCAUCCGAAGUUUGCAAAGUUACAUAAUGAGUUAUCUUAGGAAUUUGUGCCCUAGUUGAAGAAGUUAUGGUUUGAGUUGUGAAAAUUAUAUGAGCUUUGUGAUAACAGAUAAGGUGUUUGACAGAAUUCCUAAAAGAAAUAAUGUUUCAUUGAGUUGUUUA